rnacentral:rRNA from 1 species
UACGUAGGGUGCGAGCGUUGUCCGGAAUUAUUGGGCGUAAAGGGCUCGUAGGCGGUUUGUCGCGUCUGCUGUGAAAACUCGGGGCUUAACUCCGGGCCUGCAGUGGGUACGGGCAGACUAGAGUGCGGUAGGGGAGACUGGAAUUCCUGGUGUAGCGGUGAAAUGCGCAGAUAUCAGGAGGAACACCGGUGGCGAAGGCGGGUCUCUGGGCCGUAACUGACGCUGAGGAGCGAAAGCGUGGGGAGCGAACAGG